rnacentral:rRNA from 1 species
CAGUCGCCACGGUAAUACGUAGGGUGCAAGCGUUAAUCGGAAUUACUGGGCGCAAAGCGUGCGCAGGCGGUUCGUUAAGACAGAUGUGAAAUCCCCGGGCUUAACCUGGGAACUGCAUUUGUGACUGGCGGGCUGGAGUAUGGCAGAGGGGGGUAGAAUUCCACGUGUAGCAGUGAAAUGCGUAGAGAUGUGGAGGAAUACCGAUGGCGAAGGCAGCCCCCUGGGCCAAUACUGACGCCCAUGCACGAAAGCGUGGGGAGCAAACAGGAUUAGAUACCCCCGUAGUCCCUGUCUCUUAUAC